ensembl:lncRNA POLR1HASP POLR1H antisense, pseudogene
UAAUUAAUUGCGAACCGUGUCUCGGGAGCGUUAGAGAUGGAGACUAACGUCUUCCAAGGGAGAUUGCGUCUCCACUUUCACCCUGGUACUGAGAGGUUGAGCACAAAAUUGGUAACCAAUGCUGCGCUUCCAGCAAAUUUUCCCACCAGCACCCAAUCCUGGGAUACUUAUUCUCUUUGUCUCACAUCCUACAGGAACGCAGUCGCGGGGUAUAUCCCCCUGAAAACCGUACGUUGCCAAAUAAUGAUUUCUUUGGAUUAGAGAACUACAACUCCCCUGGGUCCUGAGCCGGUAUUUCCCUUUUGCGGCUGCACCGUAGUUAAAAACAAAGCUAAGUGUUCUGGGACGUAUAGUUCUAGCGUUCCUUGGGUCCCGCUGGCGAGCGUGGGCUUUCUGCAGCUCGCAACCGGCCUCGUGCUUUGCGGACGGUUCACUGCGCUUGGAAAGGGAUUGGCCUGGGGUACAUCAUCUAAAGAUCCUAGGAUUGCUGCAGGUCAGCAGUCUCCACUGGAAAAAAAGAUCUUGAAUCUAGGUGGUGUGCAUACAACAGCAGCAAGACAGUUGAUAAUGCAGAAAUAUCAGGAGGAGUGUGAAAUACUCUGUAGGGAGCAAGCUGUUUCUCUUGACUACUGGCUUGCCAAAGCAGAGUCUUAUUAUAAUAAAAUAAUAGUGGAAAUGAUGAAAGAAGAGACAGGCAAUGAAAUCUAGAAAAAAAUGGAGGAGAAAACAACCCAGAGCGUAGAAGGACUAAAACAGUACUGUUUGGUACCUGAGAGAGAGAUGAAACACAUAGAAAGGCACAUACAUCAAACAGGAAAGGCUGGAGAAUUUAAGAACAAACCAUUUAGACAAGUACUACAACCCCCCAAUGAAACAAAAUUACCAAAAAUUAUGCCAGAAGGGCAUGGCAUCCAGAACGCACAGAGAAGAAAGCAGGUAAAUGAGAGGGAACAGAUGCAGACUAAGGAUCACCAGGAACGCAUGAUUCGAGGGAGAGAACUUGCAGAACAAAGACUCAAGGAGAGAAUCUUGAGAAGAAGCCAGAGCCAGCUACUUACAUAUGAGAAGCAUGAGAGAGUAAAAGAGAUAAAGGAGUUUGAAAGAGUUAUUGCGUAUCUUCUUUUCCAACCAUGCAGUAGAAGUCGGAUUAAACAUGUAUUUCAAGUCCUCUGAUGAAUCAUGUGAUCUACUAGACCCUGAAGAUACAGUGAAGAGCAAAAGUAAGAUGCUGGCAAUUUGAUGUUUGCACUGUCAUGAAGGAGAUGCACAUUUAGCAGAACUUACAAAGAGAAAUAUAAAAUUACUGCUGAGCUAAGUGUGGUGAAGAAAAGUUCAUGGUACCAUGAAAGCAGAUAACCAGGAGAUCUAACAGGUCCACUACCACUAUUCUCAAUAAUACCUAAAAGAAAUAAUAAGAUAUGGCAUUUAUAAAUGAUGAAUAGGAUUUUAUAAAAUUAUAUACAAUCAGAGAACCAAAAAGCACUCUUGGAAAUCAAAAAGUGAUCAUUUAAAUAAGUAUUUCAAUAGAUCACUUGGAAGAGUAAAUUUGUACUACCACUAAAUAUUAAAAAUGGAAAAACAAUGUCAAGAAAGACAGAAAAACUAUACGAAUACUAGGCUAUCAGUCAAGGAUUUCCUGCAACUUAAUAAUACAAAUUCUAAAAGAAUGGAAAGAUAGAAAUUAUUUAAAAUAAAAAAAUUUCUCC